rnacentral:lncRNA from 1 species
AUGGUUCUCCUUCCCAGUCGAAAAGCACUAGAGACCUGGGCCCAGGAUGUUGGCCCACGGGGGCGCAGAUUUUCAUUCUUCACGUCCUUUCUCUCAUUAACCUGGUGGACUUUCUGGAAUUUAGAAAUUCUUGCAGCAGCAGGACCUGAAGCUCGUCACAGCAGGCCUCCCCACGGUAUGCUUACCCUCUCAGGACUGGCUCCCGGUGACAAAGCCCUCUGUUCCAAGGAACCACUGGCUGUUGGUGGGUUCUGAGCUGUGGAUGUUCGUUGCUACAAAGUACAAAGUGGAGGCUUUCUUCUGGGAGUCUGUUUAAAAAAUUUUUUUUUUUUUUGCUCUGUUUUUAAGAGACAUUCAGUAGCUACAAUUCUUGGCCACGUCAUAAGGGUAGACAGUAGACAGUCAGGCACUUCCAAAAGGUCUUACCUGCCGUGUUGAAGUGUUUGGCCACAGGAGAAUGAGGGAUGCGGCCGUCGUGUUGCUGCCCACAGCCUGCAUAUCUGUUCCUUUUCACCCCACUGUGGUCCCUUCCUGAGCCUGGACAGGACGAAUGGCUGUGGUUCUAAGGCCUCUCAGAGCCUCGCUUGUUCCCUUGUCAACAACAAAGGCAUGAUUUCUCAUUUUACAGGAAUUCCUUUUAUUAUCCUGAUAUGGAAGAUUGGUGUUCAAGAGAGGGACGUUUCUUCACAUGAAAGUAAAACCAAACUCAGUUGAAGUUAUCAUUAACGCAUGGUUCUGAAAGGGAGACAAAAGACGUCCGGGUGUUUUUAAAAGUUCGGGUGUCUAAUAUACAAGGUACUGAAUAUUUUUUAUAGUAAUAGCCAUCCUGUACAAAGUAGACUAAGAUUCUAUGGAGAGUCUUUUAAAUCUCUGUAGAACGAGCCUCUAGAAUUCCGACGUAUUUGAAAACAAAGACUCUGAUAUUAACAACAGGACUCUGCUGGCUGAUUCCACUUUAAAUGGACGACUGGUCCUGACUUCAGUACCAUAUGCCUUUGUACCUCAUCACACCGUCGUCUCUCCUGUGUCAGUGAAUGACUCUCAGGUUGACAGUGCUGACAAUGACUGCAAAAAAUGUGCUGUUGAGUUUGGCCGUAAUGUCCUAAUUUUCAUACUCAUGGCUCUCAGGAUGUAGUUGAGGGCGCACAUCCAUCCUUCGUGUCGUGAGAGCUCUGUCUUUAACCGCUUAAUGAAAUAGAAAGCAAACUUUCCAAGAGAGGCUGAACAGCAACACAUCCUGCAGAUGAAAUAAGGU